UGCGUAGGCGGGUCUUUAAGUCAGGGGUGAAAUCCUGGAGCUCAACUCCAGAACUGCCUUUGAUACUGGCGACCUCGAGUUCGAGAGAGGUUGGUGGAACUCCGAGUGUAGAGGUGAAAUUCGUAGAUAUUCGGAAGAACACCAGUGGCGAAGGCGGCCAACUGGCUCGAUACUGACGCUGAGGUGCGAAAGCGUGGGGAGCAAACA
rnacentral:rRNA from 1 species